GAUGAAGAACGCAGCGAAAUGCGAUAAGUAAUGUGAAUUGCAGAAUUCAGUGAAUCAUCGAAUCUUUGAACGCACAUUGCGCCCCCUGGAAUUCCGGGGGGCAUGCCUGUUCGAGCGUCUCAGGGACGAACCCUCGCGCGGGUGUACGCGCGGUCGUGGCUGCGGUGGCGAGCCCGAGGCGGCGGCCACCGCGCUGGAAUCCAUGGGCGGACGCCUGCCGCGUGGCCGAGCGUGAUAUGACGCAUUGGCGCUCGCACGCGGCGAGGCUGCCAGCCCUGGCCCGUCUGUCGGGCGGGGGAGAGCAAGACACGUGAACUCCUCGAAUCAGGUAGGGAUACCCGCUGAACUUAAGCAUAUCAAUAAGCGGAGGA
rnacentral:misc_RNA from 1 species